CUGCAUGGCUGUCGUCAGCUCGUGUCGUGAGAUGUUGGGUUAAGUCCCGUAACGAGCGCAACCCUUGUCCUUAGUUACCAGCACGUUAUGGUGGGCACUCUAAGGAGACUGCCGGUGACAAACCGGAGGAAGGUGGGGAUGACGUCAAGUCACCAUGGCCCUUACGGCCUGGGCUACACACGUGCUACAAUGGUCGGUACAAAGGGUUGCCAAGCCGCGAGGUGGAGCUAAUCCCAUAAAACCGAUCGUAGUCCGGAUCGCAGUCUGCAACUCGACUGCGUGAAGUCGGAAUCGCUAGUAAUCGUGAAUCAGAAUGUCACGGUGAAUACGUUCCCGGGCCUU
rnacentral:rRNA from 1 species